UACGGAGGGGGCUAGCGUUGUUCGGAAUUACUGGGCGUAAAGCGCGCGUAGGCGGAUCUGCAAGUCAGGGGUGAAAUCCCGAGGCUCAACCUCGGAACUGCCUUUGAUACUGCGGAUCUUGAGUCCGAGAGAGGUGAGUGGAAUUCCUAGUGUAGAGGUGAAAUUCGUAGAUAUUAGGAAGAACACCAGUGGCGAAGGCGGCUCACUGGCUCGGUACUGACGCUGAGGCGCGAAAGCGUGGGGAGCAAACAGG
rnacentral:rRNA from 1 species